CAGAUAAUCCGCUUUUCAAACGCCUAUGCUCAAGCCACCGCCGGCUUUCCGGGAGAGUCAAGUGGCACUCAAUACGGGCACUUGGGUAUGGAAGAUGAUGAUGAGGUGCCGGAUACCGAUGAUGACGAUGACGGUGAUGAUGAUGAUGAUGAAGCAACGGCGAGUGACGGAGAUGACAACAGCUCCUAGAAGCUUUUAGAGCUCAAGCUCGACUCUCUUUCUCCUUAGUUUAUGUUUUGAAUAAUUUUUUAAUGCUUCCAUUAAGUACUCCAUCUUUAUUCCCUUAAUCAAUAAAAAUUUUGCUAAUGUCAAUAGGGGGAAGAAAAGGGCUAUGCAUAAAUUGAGGGGGAACUCAUUACGCAUUUGGCACAAACGUUUAAACACCUAUGCAUAUCCCCAUUUCGGUUUGCCAUUAUCAAAAAGGGGGAAAUUGUUGGAAUACACUUUCAAAGACGUUGAACUAAAGUCGUGUUCGUUUUUGUAGGUUUUUAUUAAUGACAAACGGACGUGGAUGCAAAGUUGACAAAGGCCAAAUCGUCGUGAAUACGAAGAUAUCAUUGAAUAAACAAGGUUUUGAUGAAUGACAAACCGACGUGGAUGCAAAGUUGACAAAUUCCAAAACGUCGUGAAUACGAAGAUAUCAUGGAACAAACAAGGCGAGAAUUAUGGCUAACGGACCAAGGAAGAGUCCAAGUUGAGAAGAGUCAAGAACAAGACCAAGAGAUGUAUUGAAGACAUUAUUGAGUUGUUUGCAUUGUGAUCUUGAUCCGACAAUGGAUUCGUCUUGGCUUCUCUCUAAAAUCAUUUUAUCAAA
rnacentral:lncRNA from 1 species